rnacentral:rRNA from 1 species
CAGGACGAACGCUGGCGGCGUGCCUAAUACAUGCAAGUCGAACGGUCUUUCUAUGGAAGCUUGCUCCACUGAGAAGAUAGUGGCGAACGGGUGAGUAACACGUGGGUAACCUGCCCAUAAGAGGGGGAUAACAUCCGGAAACGGGUGCUAAUACCGCAUAGUUUUCUUGAUCGCAUGAUCGGGAAAGGAAAGACGGCCUUUGUGCUGUCGCUUAUGGAUGGACCCGCGGCGUAUUAGUUAGUUGGUGAGGUAACGGCUCACCAAGACGAUGAUACGUAGCCGACCUGAGAGGGUGAUCGGCCACAUUGGGACUGAGACACGGCCCAAACUCCUACGGGAGGCAGCAGUAGGGAAUCUUCCGCAAUGGACGAAAGUCUGACGGAGCAACGCCGCGUGAGUGAAGAAAAGGUUUUCGGAUCGUAAAACUCUGUUGUCAGAGAAGAACAAGUUGGAGAGUAACUGCUCCAGCCUUGACGGUAUCUGACCAGAAAGCCACGGCUAACUACGUGCCAGCCGCUGC